GAUGAACGCUGGCGGCGUGCCUAACACAUGCAAGUCGAGCGAACAGAUGAGGAGCUUGCUCCUCUGACGUUAGCGGCGGACGGGUGAGUAACACGUGGAUAACCUACCUAUAAGACUGGGAUAACUUCGGGAAACCGGAGCUAAUACCGGAUAAUAUAUUGAACCGCAUGGUUCAAUAGUGAAAGACGGUUUUGCUGUCACUUAUAGAUGGAUCCGCGCCGCAUUAGCUAGUUGGUAAGGUAACGGCUUACCAAGGCAACGAUGCGUAGCCGACCUGAUAGGGGGACCGGAGAGAUUGGGACUGGGAUAAGGCACAGACGCGUAGGGGAGGCAGAAGUGGGGAAUAUUGAAAAACGUGAGGAAGCCGGAGGCAGAAACGCAGCGUGAGUGAUGACGGUCGUAGGGUUGUAAACAGAUUUAGCCGGGGAAGAAGAGGGAGGGACGGUAAUGGGUAAAGAAGCACCGGCGAACUACGGG
rnacentral:rRNA from 1 species